rnacentral:rRNA from 1 species
AGGGUAACCGCGUAGAUCCUUGAACCUUGGGAGGCCGCCGCCGCCGCAUCUAGGCCGCACCGGCACCGCAACGCGGGGGCAAGGAGCGGGGAGCAGCGAGGGGUUCCGGCGUCGUGCGCUCGCCGCGCCGGAAGCAACCAAUAACUUCUUUGUUGUGAGGCGGUAAGACUUCUUUACUCACGCACAUUCUUCCGGUCCCGCCUUCGAUGUAGACAACACUCAAGUCUGUCUGAAUCGUCAGAUGGAGGUCUCAAUUUCCCGCUGUAGGAGAGGGCAAACUUACAGCUUCUUCGCCAAUUCUGAUCGUGGAAUAGUUCAUGAACCUCCCUACGUACCUGAUUAUACGGUUUUUAUAAAGACGCGCUACCCUUAAAGCGUUCUUGGUUCAAGCAGUGUAAUCAACUAUACCACGAUAGUGAGGUGUUGCCUUGACAUCUCUACAAACUGUAAAGUCCAUCGUUUUGAAUGGUACUACUCAAGCCAUCCACCUACGCGUACGAUAGAUCCUAUUCUGGUUCUAGUCAAUGUUAGUCCAACUUGAGUCCCGGUCCCAUAUCCUAAGGAAGUACAGAUAAAAGAUAGCCGCUAAACUCCCAAGACGUGGACGUUUUGACGCAGUAGUCGAACGGGGCCCAUAAGGUUCCAAAGUUCUCUAAUUGAGUGGACCUGGACUUUUUAAAGAGGAGGUGUCUGUAUCUGUAGGUUUUAGACCAGAGCAAGACAGGGCAUGACUCAAUAAACUUUGAUCGAAGAAAACUCCCGUAGUUGAUAGAUUUGCAAGUUCGAGGAUUUGACUUUGAAGAAGUACAAAAACCCCUGAAACUUCUGUAGUUAAACCUACGGGGAUUAAACCUCCGACGGCAAGAGAGAGAACGUGUACUUCGAUUUCGUGUUGUUAGACAAGGUUAACGCGUACUGUUCCUUUCGGUACAGUUCUUCAGUAACCCUCUGGAUUCACCGUAGUUUUGUGAACCUUAAUCACCGUAAAAGUACUUCAUAGAUAGUUUUACCACGUAUGAAUGUUUCAAGGGACGGCAUAAAGUAGCGGAGCUCGUAUAAAUAGAACACUAUACGAAAACCCUGGUCUCCGUUCAGAACCGGUGAACAAGCGACAAAGUCUUACGGGGGUUGAAUUUCUUCGAACUGUACACCUCAGUUAGAAACUCGUGUACCCUAGUCCUAGUCCGCUCGUAAGGUCUCGAAUGGUACGUUCACGUUAACCUAGUAGAGCAUUGUCGGUCACACUUCCCAAAGUCCCCACACCUGACGCUUCAGUUAAAGGACCGUUUCGAUGACUCAACCCGCGGCCGAGACCUUCUUCACUUCUAUCUUACCUGCCCGUUUUGUCUCACGUCGUACCAAGAACGGUUCGAUAAUCGAGACGGUUCCCACAGAGGGUCCCGGUUCCAGUAACAAUGUAAAAAUAUUCGUACGUAGGGACGUCAGAUGUCUCGUAGGGGGUAGCGAAACGGCCAAAUUAAACGUCGGUUCAUCUUGAUAAAGUCGAAAAAAAUACGGUUCUGAUCUACCGCCAAUAUAUACACACGUAAACUGCGUUAAGUAGCCCGUCUCCCUCAUGAAUUGCACGAUGAUAAUCGUUUACAAAAGGAAAGAACUCGGCCCCUGUGUGUUCGGCGACAACGGAAAGGAGUUGACGCGGUCAAGUCGAUCAGGAAAAAACAGGGAAACAAGACGCAUAGCAUUUAAGGACGAAUAUCGUUUAUAUAGAAAGGUUAAGGCCCCACGAGGCGUAACGCACAUGGUUAAGUACUUUCGGGGGUCGGGGACUUUUAACUUACAGGUAACAAUCAGGUUAAGUACUCAUAAGUCAUAAAACGGUUUUCUAAUACACACAUAAAAAAACUCCCCAAAUAAAAAGAACUCCUCAAAUACACGCAUAUAGAAAAUCCCCUAAUACACGCUAUAUACCAUAUAUUGUACUCUUUUUCCUUUUUGCCGACGAUAAAUAAGUCGUAAGUCGGGUUAUAUUGGGUGGGUGGGAGUGUGGUGUACCGGCUCACCGGGUUACACAGGGGUCCCAAAGGUUCGCACCGCCGAGUUCGUAGGCCGCACCGCAGCGCCGCCGCAGACGCGAGGCCGAGCCAGACGUCCGGCACAACCCGUCGCGGGCGGGCGUUGAGGUAUCGCAGCGGAAGGGCAAGAAGCAGCGAGGACGUCGUUGAGGCAUACGAGCCAAACGACGGUCAAAUAUCAUAAUGACAUUGACGUAUUGGACUAUACCAAUUCAAGUACUCGGGCCACUCCUAAUUAAUUACUGAUCGUUGGCUCCGAACAAAGCUAAGAUCAACUAGAAUGACGACGAGUGUAUGAACAAAUCUAAGUCAACGAAUUGACUUAGGUCAAAUCAUGAUGAGACAAUGGAUGAGAGAGUCAGGACUUAAUGAACAAAAUAUAAACAGAUCUAUGCCUACGGCAUAGAUUUGAGGCGGAUACAGAAGAUCCGUAUCGGCCAGGUUCGGGCCCAUUUCCUCCUCCCAACACUAUCCGAACCGCUCGGUUGCAUUUUUGAUCGGUCAGAAAACCCAUACUUUGGGUAAACCCGCUCUCAUCAUGAUCCUACCCACUGGAGGACCCUUCAGGAACACUUUCCCAAAGUAUAGAUCGGAUGGGGUUGAACAAACCCUAUUUUCCGAAGCAUUCAUUCAUCGUAGACGUCACGAUUAAAGAGUCUUAAUUGUAAAAGGAUUGAUCGUGUAACUAAACCGUGUGUAUUUCCAUCAAUUGACAGCCAACUUUGGAUUAGAACAUUAAUAAUAACGGUGUGUAUUAGCAACUAAGUUGAUCAUAACAGCACCGUACUAAAAUUCGAUCAUGUACAGUUAGUACGAAUAUCAAUUACAACCUUAUUAGUUCGAAAAGUCAAGUGGUUGAGGUCAUCAACUCAAGUCAAGACACUUACCUUUGUGUGAUCUGAACAGAGGGAUUUGAGGGCAGAGAGUCAACAUCAAAUAAAAAACAAAAAGAUACUUGUUCGUUGAAUCGUUUGGUAAAUGAAAAACGUACAUAACAUAAAAAUCAUUAUACACCAUCUUAGGUACGAUGUAUCCGAGGGUACAAAACCUUUACUUAAUUAAGGUAAAAAUGGGGGUACUAAGUGGGAAAACUGUCUAAAAUGGGUAAAAACUCUUUUAGGAGUUAAAUAUGGGGGUAAAUAGUGGAAACACCGUGUAAAAUGGGGGGACACUGUCUUAAGUGGGGGUUAAACCACGACUAAACCGUACGGUGCAUCCGCCAAGUCAUGGCAGUACGAUGCUAACGGUUAUGGUAAUACGAGCGAGUCCAAUUCAUGAAGUAAUGUAGUGGCGCACGUUAGGUCCCGUCCAACGAACAUCGUCGUUCUGGGAACUAUCAUAGGGUACAAAACAUGGAAAGACCUUAAACAAGGAGUGGUAUUUGUUCUCAAUGUGUGGUGUCAAGUCCUGGUUGUGGUAGAUAGAAUCGUAGAUACACUAUGACCCUUAUUGAAUUUUGAAGCUCGAAAUAGUCUAACAAGGUUUUCUCUGGUUCAGGUGGUGAGGAUGGUCUCGAUGAUUGACGUUUUGAUGUUACUUUUAGUUUUCUUCCGACCGAUAAGUUCGUAAGUCAGCCUGAUCGGAUGGUGCGGAGGGAUGAGUAUGUACCGGGUCACCGGGUCAGAGAGGAGUUCGGGUUAAAACUUCGGUGAUGCUUUAACCUUGGGAUAGGAAAUUUUCCUUUUUUCUCUCCUUUAACCUUGGGAUUGGUGCCGUGCCGUGGUCGCGGGCCGGCCGCCGCGAGGACGCAUGCGUAAACCGGACGGCAGCGCCGCUGCAGGAGCGGGAAGACAGGAGUCGCGAGGUAUAACCGCCGUCCGGCACGAACCGCCACAGGUUCCGGGGUGGUCCGCUCGCCGCAGUAGAGGAGGGCAAUAAGUCGCGAGGACGUCGUUGACUCGCGCUCGCAGCAACUCGGUGUAGCUUGUGGUUGUUCUCUGUAUCCUAAAUUAGACCUAAGACUUCGUUACUCAUGGACGUUUUUCUGGUCCCGUCUUCGAUGUAGACAACACUCAAGUCUGUCUGACUCGUCAGAUGAAGGUUUCUAUUUCCCGUUGCAGGAGAGGGCAAACCUACAGUCUCUUCGCCAAUCCUGAUCGUGGAAUAGUUCAUGAACCUCCCUACGUACCUGUCUAUACGGUUUUUAUAGAAACGCGCUAUCUUUAAAAUGCGCUUGGUCCAAGCAAUGCAACCAGCUAUACCACGAUCGUGAGGUGUUCCCUUGGUAUCUUCUCAAACUAUAUAGUCCAUUUUUUUCAAUGGUACUACUCGAGCGAUCCACCUACGAGCACGACAGUUCCUCUAGUGGUUCCAGUCAAUGUUAGUUCAACUUGAGUCCUGGUUCCAUAUUCUAAAGGAGUACGGAGAAAAGAUAGCCACUAAACUUCAAAGACGUUGACCUUUUGACGUAGUAGUCGAACGGGGCCCGUAAGGUUCCAAAGUUCUCGGAUUGAAUGGACUCGGAUUUGUAAAAGAGUAGGUGUCUGUCCCUAUAGGUUUUAGACUAGAGCAAGACGGGGCAGAACUGACUAAACUAUAAUUGAAGAAAACUCCCGUAGUUGGCUGAUUUGUAAGUUCGAGGAUUCGAUCUUAUAGAAUUACAUAUACCCCUGAAACUUCUGUAAUUAAACCUCCGGGGAUUAGACUUCCACCGGUAAGAGAUAGAUCCAGUGGUUCGAUUUGAUAUAGUCAGACAAGGUUAACCCAUACUGUUCCUUUUGGUACAGUUCUUCAGUGACCCUUCGGAUUCACUCUAGUUCUGUGAACCUUAAUGACCGUCAAAGUACUUCAUAGAUAGUUUUCCCACGUAUGAGUGCUUCGAGGGUCAACACAAAUGAGCGGAACUCUUAUAAAUAGAAUGCUAUACGAAAACCCUGGUCUCCGUUCAGAACUGGCGAAUAAGUAAUAAAGUCUUACGGGGAUUGAACUUCUUCGAACGUCACACCUCAAUGCGAAGCUCGUGUACGCUAGUCCUAGUCCGCUCCUAAGAUCUCGUAUGGGACGUUUACUUUUACCUGGUAGAGCAUUACCGGACACAACUUACAAAGGCCCCAGAACUGUUGCUUCAGCUAAAGCACCGUUUCAAUGACUCAACCCGUGGACGAGACCUUCUUCACUUCUAUCUUACCUUCCCACUUUGUCUAACGUCGUAACAAGAACGGUUCGAUAAUCGAGACGGCUCCCACAGAGGGUCCCGGUUCCAGUAACAAUGUAAAACUAUUCUUACGAGGGGGUAGCGAAACGGCUACAUUAAACGACGACUCAAGUACGCUUACAUCGUCGAUGCUGAUCGACCACCAAUAUACACACGUAGAUUACGUUUAGUAGUCCAUCUCCAUCGCACACACACAAGCUCCUGUAACACACCCUCAUAAAUUACACGGUGGUCGUGCAGAAAAGGUAUACUUAUUACUUUGUUAAGAAAAAACGCUCAUUCAAAAGGUAUAUUUUGCGACAGCCGAACACCAAUGUUCGUCAUAAAGGUACAAAUGGUUACGUUAGGGGCACCAUGUUUAUACACCAAUAUCGCUUUG